CGGGUGAAGCAGUGUGACAGCUUGAUGUAUCUUUUUUCAGCUUCCAUGGCAUUGGGUGUUGUCAAACUCAAACACUUGCACAUAGAAAAUUGCCCUAUGAUAGAAGAAAUUGUCAUUGCAGAAAACGGAGCUACAGACAAGAUCACUUUUCCUCAGAUAACCCAACUUUCACUUCUAUCUUUGCCCAACCUCACAAGUUUCUAUCUAAGAACACAGAAUCUUGGGGUGCUCUUCAAUGAAGAGGUUGCAUUCCCUAAAUUGGAGUUCUUGUAUGUCACCGGCCUGGAUAACGU